rnacentral:misc_RNA from 1 species
AACGCACCUUGCGCUCCUUGGUAUUCCGAGGAGCAUGCCUGUUUGAGUGUCAUUAAAUUCUCAACCUCUCUAGUUUUUAUUAACUAGUAGAUGGCUUGGAUGUGGGGGUUUAUUUUGCCGGCUUUCACAAGUCAGCUCCCCUUAAAUGUAUUAGCCGGUGCCCUCUAACUGUCUAUUGGUGUGAUAAUUAUCUACGCCGUGGACUUGGUUGCAUUGCUUCUAACUGUCCUUUAUGGACAAUAUAAUGACAUUUUGACCUCAAAUCAGGUAGGACUACCCGCUGAACUUAA